GAAUAAUCUUCACAUUUAUGUCAAGCUGUCGGAUUUGAUUUCCAUUCGAGUUUUCUGUAUUUCCGGUUUUGAGGAUUUGAGGAUUCGUUCUUAUACAGAGCAGGGACGUGAGAGGGAGACGUCCCUGUACAGAAUGCCGGCUCCAAGAGGAAGAGUUCGCCCAUCAAGGGAAUACGAUGUUAUAAGUAUGAGGUGUCUUGAUAAAACAAAUGAAGGGAGGAGAUGCAAAAGAACCACUAAGCAUCUCAGCGGGCUCUGUCCAACCCAUUUAAAGCCAUAUGACGACUCACAUGUUUAGCACGACAAAUAUUCUUCCAGAGUGUGCAGUCAUUGGCAACGGACCUUUUCGAACUUCUUUUCAAAGUUCUGUGAUCACACAACCCUACUCCCCACAAAGUGCUCCGUCAUUUCAUUUCGACGGAUUCGGAAUCGAGGUCUGGUGACUUAUUUGACAGAUUCUAGGAGGAUGGCAGGAUUAAGCAGAAGCCUCGUUGUGCAUCUUUCCCUCGUUUUCUUGGUUUCUGAAGCGAAAGCCGAGCAAAUGGAGUUCACCCCCGAACAGCUCCGGCUUCAAGCAAGCAUCGAGCAGGACCAUGAUUUCGCCUACAUCAAUAACAAGCCUGUCAUACCCGACUUGCCUUCCUCCGAAAAACAGUUGAUUCUGGAUCGGUAUGGGACAUUCUUUAGCAAUCAACCAAGCCAGCCGCCCCUGGGCUUGAUUCCAUGGAUUCCACCUCUAUUCGGCAGAGCUCCGCCAAAGAUUCGAGUGUGCCCAGCAAUUAGGGUCCAUAAAAUCCUCUGGACUGGAAUUAACUGUGACGACGAGCCAGUUGCCGUUGUACAGUUUGAUGGGGUCAAUCAGUGGGUUAUAUGGGAGGAGUGCUCCUGGCCUCAGUCACCGCAUGUUUCUCUAUCUGAACAUGACAUUACGGUCGAGUGUUCACAGACGGUUCGGGUAGUUCCUAUGGUGGUUUUUCGGUUACCCGUUACUUCUUACGAUGACGUCACAGUACAGGAUAUCAAGAUCAAGUCAUGCACUAGUUAUCUGGGUAUCGAAUCUGACCCACUAACUGACCCCCAAGAUCUAGUUAAUCCCCAAGAUCAAAUAGGCCCAUAUAAAGAGCCUCAACCAUCAGAACCAAUUCCCUAGUGAAGCACAUAAUACCACUUGGGGCACUGUGGGGCAUGAAGGCACCCCCCCCCCCCAACAACAAAACAUGAAGGAAGGAAGGAAGAAAAGGGUAGAGUAGAAAUUUUAGAAAUCCGCUUUAAAUAUAUCCUGACCUAUUCUACAAAUCGUUCUAUUUUAGAUGAGUUUAAGAUUAAGUAAAAGUGAUUACGCGUUCUUUGUACCAUUUUGCAGUAGUGGACAUUAGGCCUAAUGUUACUCAUUGUCCGAUAAUUAUAAUUAGACACUCUCUCUCAGGGGCCGCGGAAGCGGGGGGGGGGGGCUGGGGGCUUCAGCCCCCACCUUUUUCCAAAACCAUGUACAAAAACGUAAAAAUGACCAUACGAUUGUGAUUUUUUGCAUGGUCAGCCCCCCCCCCCCGCCCCCACUUUGAAAAUUGUUCCGCGGCCCCUGACUCUUAUUAACUCAAUUACUCAAUUAAAUAAAGAUUUAUACCUAAAUAAUCAUGAUAAUUGAGGGAUUCGAUAUAAAUUGUUGCACUUUAAAUAUCAAAUCAAGCGAAUUUAAAGAGAAAUUCCAGUAGUUGCAGUAAACACUGAUUUCAUGAGAAAGUCUGUAAAACCAGGCUUAAUUGUCAGUAUAUCAUCGAGGAUCUAGAUCUGGUACAGUUACAUAAACUGAACUUUGUAAAAUCUUGAAAUCUACGCUGAAAAAUGUUCAGACUGAACUUCCCCAACACAGAAUAAGCGCACGUGGGACAGUGUAUAAUUAUUGCUUUGAGCGUCGGGCCCGACGCUCUACCCGAAUCCUGUGCUUAUUUGCUGAUUUCUCAGCAAUUACACAAUUUCUUCCAGAAUCCUUUGGCACAUGUGUUUUAUUUAUACACACAGACACUUUGGAGGCGCGAUAGCUCAGUCGGUAGAGCGGGGGUUUCGGAUUCCGGUGACCCGGGUUCGAUUCCCAAUUGGUGCGCUAGUGCCCUUUGGUAAGGCAUUUAUCCUCAUUACCAGGUCCCUCGGAGAGGACCUUAAGCCGUUGGUCCCCUGGUUGCUUGCUCACAGGCAUUCGUGCUUUCUUAGCAGUCAGGUAAAAAACCUCGGUAUAACAUUUCAUUGGAUUCUGUACGAACUCAUUUUGAUAUCGUUACCAAAACUAGCAUUUACCUUUAAGUACUGUCUGUAUAAUGGAAUCAAUUCGUAUUUAUUACUGUCUAUACUGUCAUGACUGUUUACAUUCACAUUUCCUCUUUAUCAGUUCAUAUUGGUAAAAGUUCCAACAUGUUCUUCAUGAAAUUAUUUUUCAAAUAAUCAUGCCAUAGUUGAUGGUUCUCGGAAUAUGAAUUUAAAAAUAGUCCAAACCAUGAAAUACUUUCUGAAAUGAAUGUUUCCGAAUUGUUUUCCGAAUAUUAACGAUAUUCAUCUCUGCGUGUUUAUUUUGUUAUUAGCAUAUUAUCAGUGUAUUGAUCAUUCAUGACAUGAGCUUUAUACCAGGGAGAAUCGUUAAACGUAUAGACAUCGUAGUUUCAAAUGUCGAAAUGCGUUGUACAGUGCGUCCCAGAAAAAACGAAACCGAGAUUAAGCGACGAUUUAUCAUAACUUAAUCACAAAUACAAUAGACAAAUGACCUACCAAUGUAAAGCUUAGAAUCUCCUCUUUCAUCUGAUAUUACUUAGAGUAUUCCUCAUUCACGCAUGAGUGAGCAAAAUUUGAACAAAGGAUACCAAAAACGCAUUUGGCGGGGGGUAUCUGAAUUUCAAAGAGAAAAUUACAUGCCUGAAAAGUUCAAUAUCUGCUCUUUUAUUUGAUACCUUAAUCACAAAAAAUGGUCAAGAAGUAAAAAAGUUAUGUUACCUCGAAACAAUGCAUGUAUUUCCAUAAUUUCAUUAAAUAAACGUGUUUUCACCGGUUUCCCACAGAAGCUAUCGCAUGGUUAACAAAAGACUUAAUGCAUGGCUGAUCGUCAACAAAACGGAGUGUCAAGUGAGUUUGAACGCUUGCCUGUAGAACCUCUUCAUUUUAUGAAAUUAUUGAAAUUCAAGCCUUAUUUCAAAUAACCAGAACUUUGUUAUUUCUCGACCAUUUUCUGCAAUUGAGGUAUCAAAUUAAAGAGCAGAUAUUGAACUUUUUGACAAUGUGGUUUUCUUUUUGAAACCCAGAUACAGCCCGCCAAAUGACUUUUUGGUAUCCCCUCUUCAAAUUGUUUUUGCUCACUCAUGCGUGAAUGAGAAAUCUAAGUAAUUUCAUAUGAAAGGGGAAAUUCUAAGCUUUAUAAUGGAAGGUCAUUUGUCUAUUGUAUUUGUGAUUAAGUUAGGAUAAAUCAUCGCUUACUCUCGGUUUCGUUUUUUUCUGGGAUGCACUGUAUUUAGAUAGACAGAUGGUAACAUUUAUACAAGAUAUAUCAUUCAAUUCAAACAUUAACAUUCAUUUAAUAAAAUGAAAACAAUAAUGA